CAUGUCUUUUUGAUAAUAAUUUAAAGUCUGACCUGCCCUAUGAUAGAUAAUAUUAAAUGGCCGCGAUAAUUUGAUCGUGCAAAGGUAGCAUAAUCAUUAGUUUUUUAAUUGGGAACUGGAAUGAAAGGUCGAACGAGAAAGAGACUGUCUCAAUUUAAUUUAAUUAGAAUUUUAUUUUUAAGUUAAAAAGCUUAAAUAAUUUUAAAAGACGAGAAGACCCUAUAGAGUUUUAUAUUUAAUUGGUAUUAAAAAUAUUAAAGAAUUAUAAUUUUUUAGUAAUUAUUAAGUAUUUAAUUGGGGCGAUUAAAAAAUUGAAUUAACUUUUUUUAUUAUUUAACAUUGAUGUAUGAAUAAGUGAUCCAUAUUUUAUGAUUAUAAGAUUAAAUUACCUUAGGGAUAACAGCGUUAUUUUUUUUGAGAGUUCUAAUCGAAAAAAAAGUUUGCGACC
rnacentral:rRNA from 1 species